rnacentral:rRNA from 1 species
AGAGUUUGAUCCUGGCUCAGGACGAACGCUGGCGGCGUGCCUAACACAUGCAAGUCGAACGAGAAUCUUUGAACAGAUCUUUUCGGAGUGACGUUCAAAGAGGAAAGUGGCGGACGGGCGAGUAACGCGUGAGUAACCUGCCCAUAAGAGGGGGAUAAUCCAUGGAAACGUGGACUAAUACCGCAUAUUGUAGUUAAGUUGCAUGACUUGAUUAUGAAAGAUUUAUCGCUUAUGGAUGGACUCGCGUCAGAUUAGAUAGUUGGUGAGGUAACGGCUCACCAAGUCAACGAUCUGUAGCCGAACUGAGAGGUUGAUCGGCCGCAUUGGGACUGAGACACGGCCCAGACUCCUACGGGAGGCAGCAGUGGGGAAUAUUGCGCAAUGGGGGCAACCCUGACGCAGCAACGCCGCGUGCAGGAAGAAGGUCUUCGGAUUGUAAACUGUUGUCGCAAGGGAAGAAGACAGUGACGGUACCUUGUGAGAAAGUCACGGCUAACUACGUGCCAGCAGCCGCGGUAAUACGUAGGUGACAAGCGUUGUCCGGAUUUACUGGGUGUAAAGGGCGCGUAGGCGGACUGUCAAGUCAGUCGUGAAAUACCGGGGCUUAACCCCGGGGCUGCGAUUGAAACUGACAGCCUUGAGUAUCGGAGAGGAAAGCGGAAUUCCUAGUGUAGCGGUGAAAUGCGUAGAUAUUAGGAGGAACACCAGUGGCGAAGGCGGCUUUCUGGACGACAACUGACGCUGAGGCGCGAAAGUGUGGGGAGCAAACAGGAUUAGAUACCCUGGUAGUCCACACCGUAAACGAUGGAUACUAGGUGUAGGAGGUAUCGACCCCUUCUGUGCCGCAGUUAACACAAUAAGUAUCCCACCUGGGGAGUACGACCGCAAGGUUGAAACUCAAAGGAAUUGACGGGGGCCCGCACAAGCAGUGGAGUAUGUGGUUUAAUUCGAAGCAACGCGAAGAACCUUACCUGGGCUUGACAUCCCUGGAAUCGAGUAGAGAUACUUGAGUGCCUUCGGGAAUC